CCUACGGGAGGCAGCAGUGAGGAAUAUUGGUCAAUGGUCGGGAGACUGAACCAGCCAAGCCGCGUGAGGGAUGAAGGUACAGAGUAUCGUAAACCUCUUUUGUCAGGGAACAAAGGCGGGGACGUGUCCCCGGAUGAGUGUACCUGAAGAAAAAGCAUCGGCUAACUCCGUGCCAGCAGCCGCGGUAAUACGGAAGGUCCGGGCGUUAUCCGGAUUUAUUGGGUUUAAAGGGAGCGUAGGCCGGCUUUUAAGUCAGCUGUGAAAGUCCGCGGCUCAACCGUGGAAUUGCAGUUGAAACUGGAGGC
rnacentral:rRNA from 1 species